rnacentral:rRNA from 1 species
CCAAUAGCGUAUAUUAAAGUUGUUGCAGUUAAAAAGCUCGUAGUUGAAUUUCGGGAUUGGCGCAUCGGUCGUGCCUUACGGGGUAUGAACUGGUGCAGUCAAUUUCUCACCUUCUGGAGAACCGCGAUGUCCUUAAUUGGGUGCCGCGGGGAACCAGGACCUUUACUUUGAAAAAAUUAGAGUGUUUAAAGCAGGCAUUUUUGCUUGAAUACAUUAGCAU